UGUGAGUGUCUUAGUGUUAGAAAUUAAGAGUGUUACUUUAGAUAAGAAUUUUGUUUGGUAAUCUGCAGAAAGACUUCAUUGGAACAGAAGGAACGCUGGAUAGAGACAAGACUCCCUGUGGUGUAAUCAUUAUACCCUACUGGUGGACUCCUUAAAAUAAGACUAUAGAUUGUCUAAGCAGGGGAUGCAGGUUCGGUCCUGGUCAGAGAAUUUAGAUCACAUCUGCUGUGGAGCAACUAAGCUCGCACGCCACAACUAGAGAGUCUGUGCACCAUAAUGAAAGAUCCCAUGUGCUGCAACUUAAGACUUAACAUAGCCAAAUAAAUAAAUUUUUUUUUUUUAAAAAGAAGGUCUUUGAGUCAGGUGACUUGAAAGCUCUUUGCUGGAGGACCAGAUUCUAGUCUGCUGAGAGCUGUUCAUACCAAAACUGCCAGAGACUGUUGGAGUAGAGGGUGACUGCUCACUCAGGCUUGUUGUGAGACCUGUUGAGUGAUUGGGGAUCACUGCUGAGAUGCCUCCUUCUAGGGACUUCCCCUUGGAGUGAAUAGGACACUGUGGCUGAUCAUCUUAAUCCCAGUUGGAGUUCUGAAACCUGGUUGCCUUUGACAUCUACUCACAAAAGGGCUACUCACAUAAGGAGAUCCUGAUAAGGAAUACGGAACUAAUAGGCCACCACCAGCCGGAAGAGUUCG